rnacentral:rRNA from 1 species
GCGGUCUGUCAAGUCGGAUGUGAAAUCCCCGGGCUCAACCUGGGAACUGCAUUCGAAACUGGCAGGCUAGAGUCUUGUAGAGGGGGGUAGAAUUCCAGGUGUAGCGGUGAAAUGCGUAGAGAUCUGGAGGAAUACCGGUGGCGAAGGCGGCCCCCUGGACAAAGACUGACGCUCAGGUGCGAAAGCGUGGGGAGCAAACAGGAUUAGAUACCCUGGUAGUCCACGCCGUAAACGAUGUCGAUUUGGAGGUUGUGCCCUUGAGGCGUGGCUUCCGGAGCUAACGCGUUAAAUCGACCGCCUGGGGAGUACGGCCGCAAGGUUAAAACUCAAAUGAAUUGACGGGGGCCCGCACAAGCGGUGGAGCAUGUGGUUUAAUUCGAUGCAACGCGAAGAACCUUACCUGGUCUUGACAUCCACAGAACUUUCCAGAGAUGG